UAAGGAAUAUUGCGCAAUGGGCGAAAGCCUGACGCAGCGACGCCGCGUGGGGGAUGAAGGUCUUCGGAUUGUAAACCCCUUUCGGGAGGGAAGAUGGAGCGAGCAAUCGUUCGGACGGUACCUCCAGAAGCAGCCACGGCCAACUUCGUGCCAGCAGCCGCGGUAAUACGAAGGUGGCAAGCGUUGUUCGGAUUCACUGGGCGUACAGGGUGUGUAGGCGGUUUGGUAAGCCUUCUGUUAAAGCUUCGGGCCCAACCCGGAAAGCGCAGAGGGUACUGCCAGGCUAGAGGGUGGGAGAGGAGCGCGGAAUUCCCGGUGUAGCGGUGAAAUGCGUAGAGAUCGGGAGGAAGGCCGGUGGCGAAGGCGGCGCUCUGGAACAUACCUGACGCUGAGACACGAAAGCGUGGGGAGCAAACAGGAUU
rnacentral:rRNA from 1 species